UUCUGCUAAGGGCCGCUCGAGGCGAAAAGGUUGAACGCCCACCAAUAUGGGUUAUGCGGCAAGCCGGCCGCUACCUCCCUGAAUACCACCAAGUCAAGGGCCAACAUGACUUCUUCGAAUGUUGUCGCUCCCCCGAAAUCGCCUCGACCCUCACCUUACAACCCAUCGAGCGCUACGCAGGGCUCAUUGACGCUGCCAUAAUCUUCUCCGACAUCCUCGUCAUCCCACAGGCCAUGGGCAUGACUGUCGAGAUGAUCGACAAGAAAGGCCCCAGCUUCCCCUCACCCCUAAAAUCUCCUGACGAUCCCCAGUACCGCCAAAUACUAGACA
rnacentral:sRNA from 2 species